UCCCUGGUGGCUCAGAUGGUAAAGCAUCUGCCUGCAAUAUGGGAGACCCAGGUUCGAUCCCUGGGUUGGGAA
rfam:TPA: Bos taurus chromosome 1, whole genome shotgun sequence.